rnacentral:misc_RNA from 1 species
AAGUCGUAACAAGGUUUCCGUAGGUGAACCUGCGGAAGGAUCAUUAUUGAAUAAUUCUGCCUUGAUGGGUUGUAGCUGGCCUCUUGAGGCAUGUGCACGCCUGUCUUGACUCUAUUCAUCCACCUGUGCACUUAUUGUAGUCUUUUACUCAUUACAGUGUCAAGGGAAAUUGGGCUUUUGUUCAGUUGGAAUAUACUGGUUUUGAGGAUUGCUUUCCAGCUUUCCCCUUGAAUUGGCCUUAUGAACUUGUAUCUUCUUGAGAAAGAGGCUAUGUCUUAUCACAAACCAUGUUGUAUGUUGACAGAAUGUAUUCAAUGGGUCUCAGUACCUAUAAAAUCUUAUACAACUUUCAGCAACGGAUCUCUUGGCUCUC